GGGAUUAUAUUUAAAUAUAAUAUCUGAAUUGCAAUCAGAAGGUACCUGAAGGGUUAAUCUUU
rnacentral:tRNA from 1 species